GAUGAACGCUGGCGGCGUGCCUAAUACAUGCAAGUCGAGCGAACAGACGAGGAGCUUGCUCCUCUGACGUUAGCGGCGGACGGGUGAGUAACACGUGGAUAACCUACCUAUAAGACUGGGAUAACUUCGGGAAGCCGGAGCUAAUACCGGAUAAUAUAUUGAACCGCAUGGUUCAAUAGUGAAAGACGGUUUUGCUGUCACUUAUAGAUGGAUCCGCGCCGCAUUAGCUAGUUGGUAAGGUAACGGCUUACCAAGGCAACGAUGCGUAGCCGACCUGAGGGGGUGUUCGGCCACACUGGAACUGAGACACGGUCCAGACUCCUACGGGAGGCAGCAGUAGGGAAUCUUCCGCAAUGGGCGAAAGCUUGACGGAGCAACGCCGCGUGAGUGAUGAAGGUCUUCGGAUCGUAAAACUCUGUUAUUAGGGAAGAACAAAUGUGUAAGUAACUAUGCACGUCUUGACGGUACCUAAUCAGAAAGCCACGGCUAACUACGUG
rnacentral:rRNA from 1 species